rfam:Mycobacterium sp. 852014-51730_SCH5271717 contig_15, whole genome shotgun sequence.
CUGGUAGCUCCGUAUUGCCGUCUGACCCCCCGACCCGAUGGCAGUACGGAGCUCUUAA